AAUGUAGGCGGUUUAUUAAGUUUGAAGUGAAAGCCCUCGGCUCAACCGAGGAAGCGCUUCGAAAACUGGUAAACUUGAGUGCAGAAGAGGAAAGUGGAACUCCAUGUGUAGCGGUGGAGUGCGUAGAUAUAUGGAAGAACACCAGUGGCGAAGGCGGCUUUCUGGUCUGUAACUGACGCUGAGAUUCGAAAGCAUGGGUAGCAAACA
rnacentral:rRNA from 1 species